rnacentral:lncRNA from 1 species
GGAUAUCGCCUUGAAAGCCUCCUCGUCUAAGGUAAUGAAAGUAGAGGAAGAUAGUGAAAGUUCCGACGAAGAUUCUUCCAAAGAGGAAGAGAUGGUAUUAUUCAUCAAGCGUUACAAUCAAAAUAUAAAGAAACACAAGUUCAAACACUCCGACAAGAAUUUGAUCAACCUUAUGAAGUCUCACCCACAAAAAAGAGAAGGAAAGAAAAAGGAAGAAAAUGUUACAUGCGACGAAUGUGAAAAUUUAGGUUAUUACCGUGCAACAUGUUUGAUUCUCAGCAAUUG